UCAUGUAUUUAUCAGUGUCUUUCUCAAUCGCUUUCAUUCUCAGAAAUAUCUUGUUUGGGAUGGUAACUUGAUCUGCAUCUUAAUUUUAAACAAAUGUAAGCUUCUGAUUCUACUUAUUAAGCUUGUGUUCAUAAAUAAUCUCCCAUGGGAGAGAUUGUUUGGCCAAGAUUGUACAGCAGCUGUAAUUGCUGAAACCCUGUUGCUCUUCAUGAUCAUGUCAUUUCCAAGUCUUUUCAGGGAAGAAAUGGUCGGGGGUUUCUGUUCUCCCAUGCUAUGAUUAUUGUGGUUGGAGCUAAGGAGGACCGGCGACUGCUGACGGGUCUCCACACGGUGGCUGAUGUGUACUGCGGUGACUGCCGAGAGGUAUUGGGUUGGAAAUAAAACUAAACUACCAGAAAAAAGUAAAAAAAAAAACACAUUACCAUGAGUCUAUGAAGCUCAUAUUGGAGAUACCAUAAACUAUUUAGAAGCUGUAGAAUUACAAUUUGAAUUUGAGUUGAAUUGACUCGAAUUCGAUUAAUUACUUGGUCCAAUGAACUCGAAAUGAGCAGUUAUAGCUUGAA